AAUAUUUCCUGCCUCAACAGAUGCACGCUACUUUAGAGAGAAUGGUUUGCCAGCUAUUGGCUUUUCUCCUAUGGCAAACACUCCCAUUCUCCUUCAUGACCACAAUGAGUUUUUGAACAAGGAUGAAUAUUUGAAAGGAAUUCGUGUUUACAAGUCAAUAAUCAAGGCAUAUGCAUCUUUUGUUGAGCACACUCGAGAUGAUGAGUCGAAAGCAGAAUUAUGAGAAUAGGAUGCACUGAUACAGCAGUCCUUCCUAUCACACGAUGCAAUAGAAGGCCUCCCUUGUGAAACUCUGGCAUUUAUGUCAUGUUCAAUUUACAUGAAAUGCCUCUUCCUGGCGGAUUUGUCUGUUUUAAUAUGCGAGGCUAAAUAACUACGGACAUGAUACAAAUGUCAAUCGUGGCUGUGAUAUUUCUUCUUGUUUUAUGCACUGUGUAUGAAAGCGAUAGCUUCAGAACUGAGAAUCAGGUAGAUACAGGCAGGGAUGGAUAAAUUCGAUGAUGUUUCUUGCUCCUAUCCAGAUUCAACACCCUUUAUCAUCAGGAAAGAUGUAUGUUACUUUGUCUAACAUAAAAAGCUAGAGUUAUUUAUGAAAAGAUGUAUGCUACUUUGGUGAGGAAA